rnacentral:rRNA from 1 species
CAGACCUCUAAUCGGAAAAGACUACCCGCUGAGUUUAAGCAUAUCACUAAGCGGAGGAGAAGAAACUAACCAGGAUUUCCCUAGUAACGGCGAGCGAACCGGAAAGAGCCCAGCUUGAAAAUCGUGGUGCCUCGUACCUCGAAUUGUAGUCUGGAGAAGGUCCCUCUGCGCCGCGCCGGAACCAAGUUCCCUGGAAAGGGACGUCAUCGAGGGUGACA